AUACGAAGGGCCCGAGCGUUACUCGGAAUCAUUGGGCUUAAAGCGUACGCGGGCGGAUGCGCAGGCGUCGUGUGAAAUCCCUCCGCUCAACGGAGGAACUGCACGGCGAACCGCGUGUCUUGAGACAAGAAGGGGCGAUCGGAACGCUAGGUGGAGUGGUGAAAUGCGUUGAUAUCUAGCGGAACGCCGAAGGAGAAAUCAGAUCGCUGGGCUUGUUCUGACGCUGAGGUACGAAAGCGUGGGGAGCGAACGGGAUUAGAAACCCCGGUAGUCC
rnacentral:rRNA from 1 species